UACAGAGGUCCCGAGCGUUGUUCGGAUUCAUUGGGCGUAAAGGGUGCGUAGGCGGCCGGCUAAGUUUGAUGUGAAAUCCUGGGGCUCAACCCUGGAACUGCAUUGAAUACUGGUUGGCUAGAGAACUGGAGAGGAGACUGGAAUUUACGGUGUAGCAGUGAAAUGCGUAGAGAUCGUAAGGAAGACCAGUGGCGAAGGCGAGUCUCUGGACAGUUACUGACGCUGAGGCACGAAGGCCAGGGGAGCAAACGGG
rnacentral:rRNA from 1 species